AAGGUUCGUCCGCACCUGCUUUCAUUAAUUUGAAUGAGAUCACGUGAUCUGUUUCCUAUCCCUGUUACUUAGUAAUACAAUCUAUGUACAUACCAAGCGCUAGCGCUUGGUAAUAAUUUAUUACCUCGUUUAUUACCUAGAUAGAUAGUCUAGCCACACCCUUCAAUUAUUUUUUAAAACAAAAAUGAAGCCUAUAAUAAAAUUUGAAUUCUAAAGAUUAGUUUCUAACAUUCACAGGACUGACAGGAGUCCAUGAUCCUGAUGCAAGCUAAACAAAGUAAUAAUUAAUACCUAAAAGUAUCCACCAGGAGAGCAGGACUAAUGUAUACAGUAUUAAUCUCGAUAUAUUCAAGUGACGGAUGGGCGAAGAUAGUUUCGCAUAAAUGUUGUACUAGUUCUAUCCAAUUUGGUUGAGAUAACUCUUUUAGGUAUAAAUAGUUACACUUUAUCUUCAGUAGUCUGAUGGUUGUAUGUGACUGUAACAUUUACUGUAUGAAUAAUGCGGAUCUAGUGUGAAGUUCACUUUAAGUUCUGUCAGAUCGUUCUUUUGAGAGAUGACAUCAAUAAAAGUUCUUACCUCUUCAUUCAGUGGUAGUGGAAUAGAUUUUACACUCAACUGCUGUAGACUGGUGUUGCGUCUGAGACCAGUUGUUAUGAAGGACACGUUUGAACUAGAAAUUUUAAGGAUUUGAAGAAGAAGAAUGGGAGCAUUGUCAAAAUCAUCAGAUCUGAUAUGAUCACUGUGACUUAUUCUAAUUUCAGGAUUGUGAUAAAAGUAGGAGAGAUGACAAGUCUCAAAUCCAAACAGUGGUUUCCUCUUACAUUCUAAGCCAAGUUGUUGUUUAAAAUACUGUUGAUAGCUCUCAUGUUCAAGCUAUCCACCAUGCAGCUAG